CAGCAGUCAAGAAUAUUAGUCAAUGCUCGUAAGAGUGAACUAGCUAACUGAAAUCAUAGAAUUUCUUUAAAUUCAUGAUGUCGUAAGGGAAAAUAAUGAUAAUACCUUACUAUGAGUGUCGUCCAAAACUGGUGCCAGAAGACUCGGUAAGACCAGAGACGCAAACGUUAAUCAUCAUAAACAGGCGUAAAGGGUUUGUAGGCAGCUUUUAUAGGGUUAUAUUAUUAUAAAAAAUAGUGUAAUCUUCAUUGAAAGCUAGAAUCAAAAAGAGGUUAUAGUGUAUAACGCCUAGAGGAGGGCUGAUAUCCAUAGAUCCUAGGCAGAAUACUUAGGGCGAAGGCCACUCUCCACUAAUGAUUGACGCUGAGAAACGAAGGUUAGGGUAGGAAAUAGGAUUAGAUACCCCGGUACUCCUUUCUGUAAACGAUGAAUGGUAGUCAUUAGUUAAAUUAAAUAACUAGAGGCGAAGUUAACACAAUAACCAUUCCGCCUUGUGAGUACUACUGCAAAGUAGAAAACAAAAAAAUUAGUCGGUCUCGAAGCAAACGGAGUGAAGCAUGUUAUUUAAUUCGAUAAUCCGC
rnacentral:rRNA from 1 species